GUGCUCGCUUCGCCCGCACAUAUACUAAAACUGGAAAGACACAGAGAAGAUUAGCAUGACCUCUGGGCAAGUAUGACACGCAAAUUCGUGAAGCGUGUAAUAUUC
rnacentral:snRNA from 1 species